CCUACGGGUGGCAGCAGUAGGGAAUAUUGCUCAAUGGGGGAAACCCUGAAGCAGCAACGCCGCGUGGAGGAUGAAGGUUUUCGGAUUGUAAACUCCUUUUGUUAGAGAAGAUAAUGACGGUAUCUAACGAAUAAGCACCGGCUAACUCCGUGACAGCAGCCGCGGUAAUACGGAGGGUGCAAGCGUUACUCGGAAUAACUGGGCGUAAAGAGGGCGUAGGCGGGAUAGCAAGUCAGAUGUGAAAUCCUAUGGCUUAACCAUAGAACUGCAUUUGAAACUGUUAUUCUUGAGUAUGGGAGAGGUAGGUGGAAUUCUUGGUGUAGGGGUAAAAUCCGUAGAGAUCAAGAGGAAUACUCAUUGCGAAGGCGACCUGCUAGAACAUAACUGACGCUGAUGCGCGAAAGCGUGGGGAGCAAACAGGAUUAGAUACCCGGGUAGUC
rnacentral:rRNA from 1 species